GCCACGGUGGUCUAGCGGUCAGAACACUAGCCGUGUAAGCCUGGGGUCCCGGGUUCAAUUCCCGGCGGUGCCC
rfam:Zootermopsis nevadensis contig18313, whole genome shotgun sequence.